AUAAGGGAUGACUCUCGGCAACGGAUAUCUAGGCUCUUGCCACGAUGAAGAACGUAGCGAAAUGCGAUACUUGGUGUGAAUUGCAGAAUCCCGUGAACCAUCAAGUUUUUGAACGCAAGUUGCGCCCGAGGCCACCAGGCCAAGGGCACGCCUGCCUGGGCGUCACGC
rnacentral:rRNA from 2 species